GCCUGCGGGCAUAUGGUCAAAUUGUAACGAUACAGAGAAGAUUAGCAUGGCCCCUGCACAAGGAUGACACGCUUAACCAAAGAGACUGGUAAGAUUUUU
rfam:Colletotrichum gloeosporioides Nara gc5 unplaced genomic scaffold scaffold958, whole genome shotgun sequence.